rnacentral:rRNA from 1 species
UACGUAGGGGGCUAGCGUUGUCCGGAAUCAUUGGGCGUAAAGAGCGUGUAGGCGGCCCGGUAAGUCCGCUGUGAAAGUCGGGGGCUCAACCCUCGAAUGCCGGUGGAUACUGUCGGGCUAGAGUGCGGAAGAGGCGAGUGGAAUUCCUGGUGUAGCGGUGAAAUGCGCAGAUAUCAGGAGAAACACCAAUUGCGAAGGCAGCUCGCUGGGACGUAACUGACGCUGAGACGCGAAAGCGUGGGGAGCAAACAGG